GGGGGAGAAAGAGAAAGAGAGAGAGAGAGAGACCGUCCUUUUGAAUAUGUGUUUUCUGUUUAUCAUUAGCUGACUGGGUGCUUCAUCAUUCGGCGAAAAUCCCUAUCUGCUGAACAUAAGGCCGAGAGACAGCGGGGAAUCAAUCUUUUGUGCUUGGGCAGAUAAACACAGGACGCAAUCAGGGGGAGACGGAGCGACGGAGCAGGCCGCGGGACUCACGCCGCCGGUGAUGGAUGGCGGAAGUGAAAGUGUCAGGAUGGCAUUAUGCAAAUGGGGGAGGCAUCCGAGCAUCGCCCCGGUGAUUAUGGGAGAUGGGAGAGCAGCCUGUGGUCCCCCUGGCACCGAGGCAGCCAUUUUGGGGGCUCGUUGUCUCCCUACUGGAGCUGAGGGAGGAGAGAAGGGGGGGAGGAGAUGAAGGAGGAGGAAAAGGGAGGGAAGAACGUGUCAUGGUAUCAUUCCCUCACAUGCGCCGCCGCCUCACACCCACCCCUUCACCCAAAAAAAAAAAGGGGAGGAAUAAGUCUAUAAGCAGAGUGAGAGGCAUCUGUGUCAUUUACUGAAACAAAUGACCGAGCGUCUCCUUCUGUGGGGUUUGAACGAGGAGGGUGAUAGAGAUAGAACUCUGAUGGAACAAUCAUGAAUAAUGAACUUGAACUGGACAGAAAUAAAAAAAAAAAGAAAGAGAGAAAAAAGCUGGUCGGCGGUGAUUUCGACAAGCUGAAACAACCGCGGCUCUCUGAGGCCGACGUGACCCCUGGGUGCAAUGGUAUCCAUCCCGGCUGUGUCACUUCCACACACACGCACACACCAAUCUCAAUGACAAGCGAGCAGGACACACUCUCACACACACACACACACACACACUCCCACUAUAAUGACCGAGGAUGCUGCUUGUAUUCAAAUGAGGGUUGAAGUGAGAGCGAGGCAGAUACUUGAGGGAGCAGCCGGGGCCCAGAGGGGAGAUCCAGCCGCAGUCCCCGCUGUACCAUUACACUGAGAUUGAAUGAAGAUGGAGACAUGGAAAAUAUGAUAGUGUGUGUGUGUGUGUGUGUGUGUGUAUGUGUGUGUGAGAGCUGAUGGGGACGGCGCAAGGAGAACGCCGCCCAGAUGAUGUAUACACACGCGAGACUGAGUGUGUUUGUGUGUGAUGUGAAAUUAGCAGCUGUAGUCAGAUGAGCCCAUUUUUCUGCUGUUUACACAAGAGGAGAGGGAGAUUGUGUGUGUGUGUGAGUGAGUGUGAGAACCAGGAUCACACAAUUAACCACAAUCAUCCAGUUUCUGUUUUUACAAUCUCAAACUGUCCCCUCGUUUCUUUUUCUUUUUUUUUUUUUCUGUGCCCAUUUUUAGUCGCUGUCCUAGAGAGACAAAGCGCUCUGAAGUGCCCGUCCUCCACCUCUAACUUCACCGCUCGCCACAACACACAGACAAUACCACUCCGUUCCGCCUGAUUGGAUCCAUUUGCAUUGGACACCUCCUCUGCAUAUUGAUUGAUGGGUUUAAUCAGCGAAUCAGGGGGAGCGCUCAGACAUCAAUCUCUGUCAGGCACCUACCUUUUUUCCGUGCCUGUGAUUCCCUGCUAGGACUCAUCAAGGAAAGCAAGUUUAGACAGAGAAAGAGGGAAAAAAAGAGAGAGGAGGGAGGGGGAGGGAGAGAGAGAGAGAAGAAGAAAGGCGCGCAGGGAUGCAAGGAGGGGAAGGACAAUGUAUUUGAAAUAAGUUCAGGUGGAUUUCUCUGACUGGCCGCGGUGAAAAGCAGAUCAGGUGUAGAAUAAAGGAGGGCUGUGAAGCGAUUUAGGAGUGGAAUAGAGUGGAUUUGCGCGCCUCGUUCAGUAAUGCAGAAAAUGUGAGUCCAGCAUUGCAAAGUUUCAACACCUCAGAGCGAAACGUCUUAUUCACUGCUAAUUAAUCCUGCGUAUUAACAUUCAUACAUUUGAUCUUAUAGGUAUUCAAACUCCCCUCCUUCUUCAUCACCUUCUUCAAAUCAAACUUUUCUUCCUCUUUUUUUUUCCCGCCUAAACUUUUGUGCAUGGCGGUUAAUGGGGGGGGGGGCGAUGACAAAACAGUUAACUAAUUGGCAUCAAGCAAAGUGCAGUCUUAAGCGCCCUCCUCCUGUCGUAUUUCACAGGUCCUACAUCAGGUGUAGCUGUCAAAGUCACAGGAUCAAUAGAAAGAGGAGGAAAAAACAGCCUUUUUUCGCUCCUCCGCUCCCGCUGUUUGUCGGCGUGUUUGUGUGUGCACGCGCGCGUCUCCAGUUGUAUAUAUAGAAAGUGUUAAUUGAGUUGUGAUUGCCAUUGUGUGCCUCAUCAGGGGAAGAACAAGACCCCCCCCCCUCCUCUUCUACACACACACACACACACACACUCCACCUCUACCCCCUUCCCCAUGUCAGUGUGAGAGUGUACCUGCGACACAUCGAGCUGACAGAUACUUCAUUUCCUUCUCACUUGAUAAUUACUGUAAUACAAACUCAAUUAAAAGUAAGCAGCUCAAAGAGGAGAGGAGAUGAGUUUGAUUAAAAUUUGAAUGAAAAUACAAAUCUAAGAAUACAUAUUUUUACAGGUUUGUUCGGGAGAGUGUGAAAUUUUUAAAAAUGGGCACGGAUAUCGAGUCACGAUCGAGGAAGUUGGAAGUUUUGUCGAGAGUUUUGGACGAUUUUCUUAUUUAUUUUUCAGAUCUGAUUUUCAGGUGUUUUGCAGCGAAUAAGAGAUUUGGAGACUCCCCUCUGGGAGCACGGCGCUGAGGUCGGUUUAACGCAGACCAGACAAUUGUCAUGAAACAUCACACACAACUAGUAAAAACACUCAAUGAACUCUAUCCUUCUGUAUUUCAACAUUUGUUUAGGCUUUAAGCAUUUUUUUUAUUUCUUCUAUUAAACUCAAUUACUUCCUGUGUGAAUCUGGCCUUGACGGAAAAAAAAAAGGGCCCCAUAAUUCAGUUCUGGGGAGAAGAAGAAGAAGAAGAAAAAAAUAAAAAAAAACCCAACAUUGCAACAUGCUCGUUUUUUUGGAGGAAGAAACUUUUAAUACCCUCAGCUCUUAAUGACGGCGCUGCAAUUAGAGUGGCUGCAUUUUUGCUCUAGCCGCGAGUCAAAGGAAAACAAAUAAAGCAGCUCGAUUUAGAAACCUUAUUAGACUUUGAGUCCCUGAGCAAUUAAAGUAUUACAGCUGAAGUGCUUCUGUGAACCCACCGAUGGAAAGCAUUUAUAGGUGGUCUUUACGUUACUGGUGGUCUGUUACUGGGCGCUUUUGCUUAUUUGCACCGUUCGGAGCUGCAGUCGUUUGGCGUUUAUGUGUCGUGAAGGAGUAUUGGACGAUUAAAGCUCUUAUGGUGUCUGUCAAGGACAAAUUAUUCACAUAAAAACUUUUCUGGCUCGUUUUGUGUGACAACAUACGACACUUAUUUAAAGUACAAUGAUUAAAAACUUAAACACAUCUCAUCUUUUUGAAGCCGUCACUCUCUGUAAUCGUGUAUCUGCAAACCCCAUGCAGGGUCUAAAUUGGCUUGGCUGUGAUGAUGCCCUUUGCAGUGCAAUCUCUCCAAUUUGAUGCCUUAUCAAAUUACCAACCCAGAGGAAAUUAAUGGUAUCAUCUGUGUCACGGCAUUGAUGUAGUUUCACUUAGCCUCAAACACUAUGGUCCUAAUUGAAUGAUUAGAUUCCUCUAGAUUUUCUAUCCAUCUUAAUACUAAUUACAAUCACAGAUGAAAACCGAGUGGCUUAUGUGUCAAUUUGACAAAUAAAAUCCAGGUAAAAAUGAGAAAAAAUGAUGUCUCAAUCAGAGAAUUUAAUAAAAGAUAAUUGUAAUGGGCUCUAAUUGUGGUGGAAGUGUUCUGAGGACAGGUGGAAUUUCAUUUUCUUCCUUAUAUUUUAUACUAAUGAGUUGUAAUGCACUUUUGGAAAGGAGCCCAAGAAUGAAAGACUAGAACCUGAUGUGCCACUAGGGGGGGUGCUGAUGCUUUUUGGCCAAAGUCUGAAAACACGCCACAGUCGAAAUGUUCUGUCUCCUUCACAUGCUUUCCAGCCGUGAGGAGAAGAGGCAGCAAAAGGGCGAAUAAGGAGGAAAAAGAGGGAGCCUGUGUGUGUGUGUGUGUGUGUGUCACAUGACUGCUUAGAUUACAGCUCUAUCUCCUCUAACUUUGUCGUAUAGUUUUCACCCUCCGCCUGUUAAGACUAUAAUCCCGCACAUACACACACACUCUCUCAGAGCUGUGACCUCCCCUCUCUCUCAGACCGCUUCUGACACCUCCCGCUCGGCCACCUUUGCCCCGGCUCCUCCCCUCCGAUCACUCGGUGAGAGUCCCCCGCCAUAAUUGACUAAUGACCCCGUAUCAAUAUUUGGCUGUGGUCACAGGCUUUCAGUACUGUUGUAAUUUAAAGUGGAUUAGUGUUCGCCUCAGCACGUUUCUUUUGGCAGCCAGCCAGUGGGACGAGCUUUUGAUAACAGGUUCCUUCUUGCGUGAGUGUGUGUGUGUGUGAGUGUGUGUGUGUUUCCACUGUGUGUGUGUGUGUACUUGUCUGCCUUGUGUGUUUGUGUGAACUACAUAAGCUGCCCAUUGCCCUACGGGACUUUAGACACCAAAGCGGUAAAAAAAAAAAGGGCUGCAGUUUUUCCCGAUGAGGAGAUGGGAGGACACACACACAUAAAAGCACACGCACACACAAACAGACUCACACACACACAUAUGCAGGCUCUGGCUGCACUGCCUGAGCCUGUUCCAGUGAAAAGCUGAGGUCCCAGUCCAAGUAUUUAUGCUGCUCUCCCACUGUGAGCGACACAUGAAGGGGGGAAAAAGCAGCCGACAAAACAACGAUUUUGAAAAGUUUGCAUAAAAAAGCCACAAUAUCUGCACUUUUUUUAAAAUGUGAAGUUUUAUAUCCCUGCAGUGACGUACAAUACAUUCAGUCAAACUAAUGAAGCGAUAUCACCAGAACACAUUGGCGGUAACAGAAAUCAUGAGGAUCAUCUUAACGAUUUGAAAACUGCUGAACUUUAUUCCCAAAAAGAAGAUAUUUCUUUAAAUUCAUCAUUAAAAGGAAAUCCAUAUUGAAAUGUAACAAAAGGGUUAGAGUUAGGGUUUAGGGUCAGGGUUUGGGUCAAAUCAAGAGGCACUUCUUUCAAAGUAAAUAACAAACCAUAGUUUACAAUUUUUGGGUGCCAAUCAGAUUUCACUUUUCCGGUAUGACCCUAAUCCCCAAUUUCCACUAGCAGCUGAUCGUAACCAUUCAAGUUAGCGUGACAAUUUCCAUCGGCUUCUUUCUGUUCCACUGCGUCUCAACGGACUCCCCAACUGAUCGCAUAACUUCUAUUUUUUCCCGAUGCUGGAUAAAUCCAGCACAGAUUUACCCGUGCUGGAAAGGAAGUCGGGCACAGACACAAAAUAAAAUAUCCAGCUCGUGUUUUAGGCCGAUCAUAUUUUAGGUUUAUAAACAGCAUUUCACCCCGAUGACACCAUGAUGCCUCCUCUGGAAGGACACAAUCUCUGCUUUUAUGCUUAUGUGGCCAAAGACAACUUGUUAUCACGCGAUCGCAUGUGAAUCCAUGGGUUCUUGUGAGUUUUCGUGAUUACUGCUGUCGCCUCACAAACAAAAUCACUUCUGUUCUGGAUGUGGUGAAAAUCGGGGGUUAGGGUUAGGGGUCAAAUCAAGUGGCACUUCUUACAAGGUAAAUAACAAACCAAACUUUUGGAUUUUUGGGCACCGAUCAGAUUUCACAUUGCCGGUAUGACCUUAAGUUCUCUCAGCUUUGACCUCAGACAGCUUUGUCCUGAGACAGUUUCCUCAGAGAGAGACCAGCCUGUCAAAUGAGGCGCUCAUGGGAAAUGCAGUCUUUCUCUGAUUAUGUCCAAAGAGGUCCCCACACUAAACACAAUGUGAAAACUCCUUACACCGACUUUAAGAGAUUAAGCGGCCGAAACUCAUGCCACUUGCAGUUCAAUUGUAAUGGUAAAUAUUUUGUAUAAAUUUGGGGGUAUACGCACCUAUAAACUUAAUGUCACUUCUGCAUAUAUAAGCGGGCCAUCUGGGUUUACCCAAGUCGAAAAAAGUCUGGACGCACUCCUGCAGUUUCACCAAUCUUCACCAUGAAAACAUUACAAGGUGUUUAUGUCAUUUAUCUCAUAGUCCAGAUUAUGUUUCCUGCAUUAGAGAAAAAGAAAUAAUCCGAAAACUAAUCCUCAGUGAAAAUCUUAUUUUGUCCUGUUGUUUCUAGAUCAGUCUCUUAAUAGGUCUAUUUUAACCUUCAACAUCUCUAUCUCUUUCUUAUCACCUUUUAACUCUUCAUUGUUAUGGAGGAGCUCUGAGUUUUGGUACAAAAACAAGGCAUUCAAACCCGCCUUUCAUUUUCCUAAAAUCAUUAUAAAGUAUUCAGACAUUUCCCUCCUCUUGUCCCUUUAUGUCUGGGCUGUCUUGGCUGAUCAGACACAAUCGAGUCCAGACUUGUCCAGAUACUCCGUCUUUAAACAAACCUUACAGCUCUACUCCAGUAAUACCCAGACAGACAGACAGACAGACAGAGAGAAAGACAAACAGCGAGACUCUGACCGUGUCUUACCUUGUCCCUGCGCCGCUCUCAGUAUGCAGAGAGCGGAGGCAGAGUGUUUAUCUCGCUCGCUGGUGGAAUGUUUGUGUAACUGAACGCUACGCUGAUCGAGUUCAAAUCACGGCAGGAUAAUUAAAACAUGUUGAUCCCUUCAGUCAUGGGGAAGGGGCAGAUUUAUUAAUGAUACACUUACCACAGCCCCGUGGACUGCACGCACACAGCUGAGAGAUGGUAAUAUUGCAUGAAAUCGUUGGUUAGAUUGUCAUUUACCUGCGGGCCCGUGCCAGUGUGAGUGGUCUUUCAUGUAAAUGAAUUUGUGCUGCGAAUGAGAGAAAGGAGAGACAGAGGGAGGAGUGAGAGAUGGAAUUAAUAGCUCGGGGUCAUGGGGAUAAUGAUUUCUUCAUGGACCCAGUCAGAGUCAAAUGGCCCAGGCGUCUCGUUUGGUUAUUUUUGAAAGGAGGGAGUGAAUGUAAGGGUGAACAUUACACGGAACAGGGGCAUUUACUGAAUAUGUAAACGCGUUUGGUUUUAUGACAGGGUCUACAUGCCAACAACGUUUUCCAAAUGACCCACUUUGUAUUCACGCAAUGCAAAUUUGCCGCUGCGUCGUUAGACCUGGUUGAUUGAGUGUUGCUCCCAUAUGUUAAACAAGAGAACAUAUAAUUUGCUCAUGAUAUCAAAAUACGGUGACGUUAACGGAUGGAAAAAAUAUUCCCUACGAGUCAGGCGCAGCUUACCUGGUCAAGUUUAACCCGGGUUAGGGGGGCGUUAUGGGACCCAAAGCUCUGAAAGGGUCAAUGAGAACCAAGAUUAUGAGUUCAGGUAAAUCAGUAGAUCACAGAUAAAACUAAAACCAACCAAUUUUUACUGAUACUGCCUUUAAUCAAACAAAGUGAACCCAUUACACUUAGUUUUGUUACAUGAUGCAGACGGACCCAACAUUAGGGUGACCGUGCGUCUUCUUUUACCCGGACAUGUCCUCUUUUGGGGGGACUGUCUGGCCUUGUCCGGUCUUGUCCAGGGGAGUCUAUAAAAUCCUUCAAAUGUCUGCGGUUUUGUAUGGAAGUUUUGAGAUUGUGUAACGUGGACUAACUGAGUUAGAACUACCCGCGACUCCGCCUCGUGUAGUAGCGUGCUCUUUUUGGGGAUUCAGAAUAUGGUCACCCUACCCAACAUUCAUCCAACAAAGCGAAAGCAAACCAGGAGCAGAAUCAGACUCACUGGUGGACGGUCAUCUGCUAAUGGGACUGGCCUGGUAUUUGGGGGAAGGAGAGAUGGACAACACCAAACACACAAACACACUGACUUUAGGAUAUCAACCUCAAUGCAUCAUGGUCUAAAAUAACUCGUAAUCAAGCGCCAUUUUGUCAGUUUGAGCACACCACAGUUUAGCCGUGGAGCAUCUUCCUGCUGCUGCUGCUGGUAUGAUGCAAUCUAAUGACACCACUGCACUUUUGAAUGUCACAUUUCACUAUUUAAAACUCCUGCAGCUUACAGAUACAAGCACUGUGAGUUAAAUUUGAGUCCAGUCUGAGCUACAACCUCUGAGCAAAGCACACAGGGUCAACACAGGCAUAUGGACGGAACCUCAUUUGGGACAAAAGUAUGGUUAACUGCAACUAUUUGAAGAACAAAUUAAGAUGCAAAUUGAGAACAGAUUAAGAUGCAUUAUGAUGAAUUUAAAAUGCAAUUUUAAGAAUAAGAGUUAGGGUAAGGGGGUUAGGGUUAGGGAUGGGUCAGCUGAUCAGCUGCUCCUGGAGGUACCGAGGUCCAAACGGAAGCUCAGAGGGGAUAGAUCUUUUUCUGUUGCAGCCCCAAAUUUAUGGAACGAGCUACCCCUCCAAAUUAGACAAGCCCCCACCCUGUCCAUUUUGAAAACUGGUCUUAAAACCCAUUUUUAUUCAUUGGCUUUUAACCCUGCAUGAGACUCGGCUCCUUUUUUAGUGUUUUAUGGUUUGUUUUUAGUUAUUUGUUUCUAUGUUUUUAAAUUAGUUUUUAAAAACAUUGAAACUAUAUUUCACUUUUAAUUCUGCUUUUAUUUUAUCCAUUGUUUUAAUUGUUUUUUGAUUGUUUUUUUUAUCUUGUUGUUUUGUCUAGUUAUGUACAGCACUUUGUUCAGCUGUGGUUGUUUUAAAGUGCUUAACAAAUAAAGUUGAGUGAGUGAGAGUGAGAUAUCACCAUAUACCCAGAUAUGUCAGAUAGUAGCAGUCAGGUGGCCUUUGUAUAACUGCAUGUGGGUUAAAUGCAUUUUCUUUUUUAAACAUUGCUUAAUUAGGGUUAGGGUUAGGGUUUCAUUCAUUGGUACUGUAGUAGAUACAGUUGAAAAUGUGCGGUACUUGAGUUCAAGACAGAUUUUCUAAAGGAGGCAACAAUGUGCAUCUUAUGAUACCAUUCAUCAUAUCUACUGUAUUGUAUCUAUCGUAUCGGAUAGAAGCAGUCGUCUCUCAGUCCUCAGACGAGUUUCCAUCAAAGUCUCUAAUCCUCCCGAUCGCCAUACACUUGGCUUUCAGCUCCCGCAUCCUCCUUCAGGACGUCCACAUACGUUAGCGCUGAACGUCCUUGCAAACGGUGCCCGUGUGUUGUAGUACCAGCUCAAUACCUCCUGACCUGAGCACCUUGUGAACGGUUCGUGAACCCUCAUCUAUCCCAACAUCUCCUCCUCCUUUUUUCACUUCCCUGCUUUUUUCCCAUCUGAUUUUGUUGAACUUUUCCCUCUGACAGCAUAUUUCCAAACCCUCUCUGCAUGAGCCUACACUCAUCCUCGACAUCAUCACAGUUAUAUCUAGUAUUGGACACAUGUUAGGGUUAGGUCUGCUAUUAUGGUUGCAUCCUUUGUCUGUUUUCUAUCCGGGUUAUGAUGGGCAGAUAAGUCGAUGUUGCCGAUGUUCACAGCUUUGGUCUCAUAUGUAAGAAUUAAAAGCUUUCGGGUUACGAAAUGAAACGAUUUGCAUAGUUUUGCUGAUGCAACAUCUUGCAGUUAAACCCCCUUGUGUUGCCGUGGCGUCCUAAUAUUUUAACAAAUGAUCAUAUAAUUUUACAAAGAUUGUGGCGUCUAAAGCUGCUCCUUAAACGAAGAUAACAACAAGUCAGACACUCAGCGCAUCAAAGCAGACAAAGAGCUGAUUUCAGGGCAUAAAUCCAAACUUUCAAGUCAGCCAUGGCACUCAUACCCCUCCAGCGCUAACUGUGAACACACACACACACACACAUAAAAGUGCAGGUGUGUUUUUCCACCCGCCCUCUGUCAUAUCUGAAUAGGGGGUGGUGGCGUCAAAAGCUGCUGGUCAAUCUCUUUGCACAUCUUUUGUAAAGGGGGCAAGUCUGACAGAGUAAACCAGCAUGGACACAUGUGAACAUAAAGAGGGGACCUCACACCCUCGCCUCCCCCAUGCUGAAAGGACCCGGUGGGGGUGUGAGCAAGGAGGGAGAGAGGAGGGAACGCAAAGGAGAAAGAGGGUCCAGGCCAGGGCCCUAAUGGUGGGAACAGUGCGGAGGUGAAGCCGUCUUUUUGUUCGCUGUGAAUAAAAGAGGCUUUUGAGAGGCAGCGUGUGUUUUUGUUCCACGGAGGGCCAUCGAGGCUGCAGGCCAUGCUCGUCCUGGGUUGUUGGAGGGGGCAGGGGUGUAGGCGGGACAGGAGUGUGGACACAGGCAGAAGACAGAGUUACUCGCUCCAGGGAGAGAAAUAUGCUACUGCGAGGGUGUUACAAGGAGGACAGCGUAUCAUCUGUCUAUGAAGAAAAAGAGAAGAAGAGGAGGGGAGGUGAGAGAGUGAGACGGAGCUUUAGAAAGAGACAGAUGGAGACAGAAGGGGGGGUGAAGAAAGUGAGACAGAGAGAAGGAGAAGGAGAGAGGGAGAGGCGUGAAGGUGCUUUAUGGGGUACUUAGUGGCUCAUGUAUCCAAGCUGCUGUCAUUUCAGGUCAUCUAUUGUGCCGUGUGCAGCUGUACACACCUGAUUUUUCUGCUUCAUACUCCAAGU